UUGAACGCUGGCGGCAGGCUUAACACAUGCAAGUCGAGCGGUAACAGGAGAAGCUUGCUUCUCGCUGACGAGCGGCGGACGGGUGAGUAACGCGUAGGAAUUUGCCUAGUAGUGGGGGAUAGCCCAGAGAAAUUUGGAUUAAUACCGCAUACACUCUACGGAGAAAAGCAGGGGAUCUUAGGACCUUGCGCUAUUAGAUAAGCCUGCGUGGGAUUAGCUAGUUGGUGAGGUAAAGGCUCACCAAGGCGACGAUCUCUAGCUGGUCUGAGAGGAUGAUCAGCCACACUGGGACUGAGACACGGCCCAGACUCCUACGGGAGGCAGCAGUGGGGAAUAUUGCACAAUGGGCGAAAGCCUGAUGCAGCCAUGCCGCGUGUGUGAAGAAGGCCUUCGGGUUGUAAAGCACUUUCAGUUGUGAGGAAAGGGAUGUAGUUAAUAACUGCAUUCUGUGACGUUAACAACAGAAGAAGCACCGGCUAACUUCGUGCCAGCAGCCGCGGUAAUACGAGGGGUGCAAGCGUUAAUCGGAAUUACUGGGCGUAAAGCGCGCGUAGGUGGUUAAGUCAGUCAACUGUGAAAGCCCUGGGCUCAACCUGGGAACUGCAGCUGAUACUGCUUGACUCGAGUAUGGUAGAGGGUGGUGGAAUUUCCUGUGUAGCGGUGAAAUGCGUAGAUAUUUGGAAGGAACAUCAGUUGCGAAGGCGGCUCACUGGACCAAUACUGACGCUGAGGUGCGAAAGCGUGGGUAGCGAACAGGAUUAGAUACCCUGGUAGUCCACGCCGUAAACGAUGUCUACUAGCCGUUGGGGAACUUGAUUCUUUAGUGGCGCAGCUAACGCGAUAAGUAGACCGCCUGGGGAGUACGGCCGCAAGGUUAAAACUCAAAUGAAUUGACGGGGGCCCGCACAAGCGGUGGAGCAUGUGGUUUAAUUCGACGCAACGCGAAGAACCUUACCUACACUUGACAUCCUGCGAACUUACUAGAGAUAGUUUGGUGCCUUCGGGAACGCAGUGACAGGUGCUGCAUGGCUGUCGUCAGCUCGUGUUGUGAAAUGUUGGGUUAAGUCCCGUAACGAGCGCAACCCUUGUCCUUAUUUGCCAGCACUUCGGGUGGGAACUCUAAGGAGACUGCCGGUGACAAACCGGAGGAAGGUGGGGACGACGUCAAGUCAUCAUGGCCCUUACGAGUUGGGCUACACACGUGCUACAAUGGCCAGUACAGAGGGCCGCAAACCAGCGAUGGUAAGCUAAUCUCAGAAAACCGGUCGUAGUCCGGAUCGCAGUCUGCAACUCGACUGCGUGAAGUCGGAAUCGCUAGUAAUCGCGAAUCAGAAUGUCGCGGUGAAUACGUUCCCGGGCCUUGUACACACCGCCCGUCACAUCAUGGGAGUGGAUUGCACCAGAAGUAGGUAGUCUAACCGCAAGGGGGACGCUUACCACGGAGUGGUCAAUGACUGGGGUGA
rnacentral:rRNA from 1 species